AUUGAACGCUGGCGGAAUGCUUUACACAUGCAAGUCGAACGGUAGAGGGGGCAACCCCUCGAGAGUGGCGAACGGGUGAGUAAUAUAUCGGAACGUGCCCAGUCGUGGGGGAUAACGUAGCGAAAAUUACGCUAAUACCGCAUACGAUCUAUGGAUGAAAGCGGGGGAUCGCAAGACCUCGCGCGAUUGGAGCGGCCGAUAUCAGAUUAGGUAGUUGGUGGGGUAAAGGCCCACCAAGCCAACGAUCUGUAGCUGGUCUGAGAGGACGACCAGCCACACUGGAACUGAGACACGGUCCAGACUCCUACGGGAGGCAGCAGUGGGGAAUUUUGGACAAUGGGCGAAAGCCUGAUCCAGCCAUUCCGCGUGCAGGAUGAAGGCCCUCGGAUUGUAAACUGCUUUUGUACAGAACGAAAAGGUUUCUACUAAUACUAGGAGCUCAUGACGGUACUGUAAGAAUAAGCACCGGCUAACUACGUGCCAGCCGCCGCAGUAA
rnacentral:rRNA from 1 species